rnacentral:rRNA from 1 species
GUCUACGGCCAUGCCACUCUGAACGUGCCCGAUUUCGUUGAUCUCAGAAGCUAAGCAGGGUCGGGUCUGGUUAGUACUUAGGUGAGAGACCACCUAGGAAGACCAGGUGCUGUAGGUG